UCACAGGAUUUUCAAUCGUUUUCACUAAUCUUCAAAAGCAAAAGUAAAACACGAUUACACCAAACGUAAGAAAGAGUUAUCAAUCUUACCGUUAAGCAAUAGUACUCUAUUGCUUAACAAGCCUAAGUAGAAAACAAUAUACCCACUAAGCUAUCCCACCUAGACAACCUAGACUUUUAACACAACACACCAAUUCCUUUAUAGAUUCAGGAAUGGUUUACAGUUUAAGAACAAGAGAAUGUAUUCCUAAAUAACUAAACGAAAAGCUCCAGAUAUUGCUGUUGUUCUUGGAAUAAUUCUGCCUUUGCUUUGUAGUAGCCUUUGCAAGAGUUCUUGAAAAGUUUUUAUUAAGUUGCAAAAACUGCCCAAAAAUAUUUAGGAAAGUGCCUUUUAUAUGAGCAAGUCACUUUCCCAAACUUCUUUGCCAUUGGCUGGAAAAGUCACACUUUCUGACGUCAUCGGGAAGUAUGCACCUACUUUCUGUACCGUCUCCAGCUGGCAAUCAACUGGCUCCUCAUCAUGAGAGUCUGGUACCUCUACUAGGUCCCUGAGUUUGUUUCAUCUACAAUACUCAAGCAAGAACCCUGCAACAGACAAUUAAGAAACUGGUACCUUUACAAGGUUCCCAGAUUUGUCAAAUCAUCAAAACUACAAAUAACAAAAAUAAAUACGAAAAUAAACCAAAAGCAACGAACAAUAGAUUACUUGUUGGCGAGUCCAUUGACGAUCAGUUUGUUCUCUACGUAAGAAAUAACCCUGUGAAGAAAGUUUCCUCCUCCCGCCAUAGCUGAUUCCUAC
rnacentral:lncRNA from 1 species